rnacentral:rRNA from 1 species
UACGUAGGGUGCAAGCGUUAAUCGGAAUUACUGGGCGUAAAGCGUACGCAGGCGGCUUUGCAAGACAGGUGUGAAAUCCCCGGGCCUAACCUGGGAACUGCAUUUGUGACUGCAUGGCUAGAGUUUGUCAGAGGGGGUGGAAUUCCACGUGUAGCAGUGAAAUGCGUAGAUAUGUGGAGGAACACCGAUGGCGAAGGCAGCCCCCUGGGAUGCUGACUGACGCUCAUGUACGAAAGCGUGGGGAGCAAACAGG